rnacentral:rRNA from 1 species
UACGUAGGGGGCAAGCGUUGUCCGGAUUUAUUGGGCGUAAAGAGCUCGUAGGUGGUUCGGUAAGUCGGAUGUGAAAUCUCCAGGCUCAACCUGGAGGGGUCAUUCGAUACUGCCGUGACUAGAGGUCGGUAGGGGAGUGUGGAAUUCCUGGUGUAGCGGUGAAAUGCGCAGAUAUCAGGAGGAACACCAGCGGCGAAGGCGGCGCUCUGGGCCGGUACUGACACUGAGGAGCGAAAGCGUGGGGAGCGAACAGG